UACGAGGGGUGCAAGCGUUGUUCGGAAUUAUUGGGCGUAAAGGGCGCGUAGGCGGCGCGGUAAGUCACCUGUGAAAUCUCCCGGCUUAACUGGGAGCCUGCAGGCGAAACUGCCGUGCUGGAGUAUGGGAGAGGUGCGUGGAAUUCCCGGUGUAGCGGUGAAAUGCGUAGAUAUCAGGAGGAACACCGGUGGUGUAGACGGCUUUCUGGAUCAUAACUACGCUGAGACACGAAAGCGUGGGUAGCAAACAGG
rnacentral:rRNA from 1 species